GUGAACUCCGGUCCGUCUGCCCGUGUAAUACGGAGGAUCCAAGGGUUAACCGGAAUCAUUGGGGUUAAAGGGGACGUAGGCGGCCUUAUAAGUCAGCGGUGAAAGUUUUUGGCUUAACCAAAAAAUUGCCAUUGAUACUGUAGGGCUUGAAUAUUUGUGAAGUAACUAGAAUAUGUAGUGUAGCGGUGAAAUGCUUAGAUAUUACAUGGAAUACCAAUUGCGAAGGCAGGUUACUAACAAAUGAUUGACGCUGAUGGACGAAAGCGUGGGUAGCGAACAGGAUUAGAUACCCCAGUAGUC
rnacentral:rRNA from 1 species